rnacentral:rRNA from 1 species
UACGGGGGGGGCAAGCGUUGUUCGGAAUUACUGGGCGGUAAAGGGCUCGUAGGUGGUCAACUAAGUCGGACGUGAAAUCCCUCGGCUUAACCGGGGAACUGCGUCCGAUACUGGAUGACUUGAAUUCGGGAGAGGGAUGCAGAAUUCCAGGUGUGAGCGGUGAAAUGCGUAGAUAUCUGGAGGAAUACCGGUGGCGAAGGCGGCAUCCUGGACCGACAUUGACGCUGAGGAGCGAAAGCGAUGGGGAGCGAACGAG